UUGCAGUCAAUUAAGCCAGUCAGGUUCCUUUCCUCAGAGGGGCCUGGUGGGCAAUGGUGUGAACAGCAGCCUCCUUGAGAGUGUGUGCAGCCCUGAUGCCUAUAUGGAUUGCUCUAAGGGACCCUGGAGACAGUU